AGGUGAACAGACGUGUGGUUUCCGAAUGGAACCAGGCCGCAGUUCAGCAGUGAGAGUCGGAAUGCGGCCCCUCGGGUGUUGCCAUGGUGACGCCGUAACUCGGUUGAAGGCGGCGGUGGGAAAAAAAUAAAAUAAAGUUUCAGCGAAGGUUGACAGGCAGCUGAAGAUGAACAGAGUGAUGACGCGGUGACGCACAGCGCCUCUUCUACCUCACAUCACCACCAACAUCAACAAAAGGAGGAAAGGUUCCGGGUACAGGAUGUCGGGGUCUCUCCAAACCAGCUUGAUAGCAGAUACAUCAGUUCAGCUCCCCUCCAAAGAAGAAGUUGCAUUGUUCAGGAACAGUCUGAAGCAGAACAUCUGUGUGCAGAUGCUAAAAGAAGGCUACCACAGGU